rnacentral:rRNA from 1 species
UACGUAGGGUGCGAGCGUUGUCCGGAAUUACUGGGCGUAAAGCGUGCGCAGGCGGUCUGUUAAGACAGAUGUGAAAUCCCCCGGGCUUAACCUGGGAACUGCAUUUGUGACUGGCAGGCUAGAGUAUGGCAGAGGGGGGUAGAAUUCCACGUGUAGCAGUGAAAUGCGUAGAGAUGUGGAGGAAUACCGAUGGCGAAGGCAGCCCCCCUGGGCCAAUACUGACGCUCAUGCACGAAAGGCGUGGGGAGCAAACAGG